rnacentral:sRNA from 1 species
UUGAUAGUCUGUGAGACCAGUGUCCUCUCUUUAGUCAUGGAACAAGUACAGCAUAGACAGAAGCAGUGAAAGCUUCUCCAGGCUGGCCUGCCAAUGUGCCACAGUCUUGCCGUGAAGUAAGAGCUUCUAAGAGUAGCAAGGUGGUUGCUAUUUGCCUCAGUCUUUGACCUCU